rnacentral:rRNA from 1 species
UGGGGAAUAUUGCACAAUGGGCGAAAGCCUGAUGCAGCGACGCCGCGUGAGGGAUGACGGCCUUCGGGUUGUAAACCUCUUUCAUUAGGGACGAAGCGCAAGUGACGGUACCUGCAGAAGAAGCACCGGCUAACUACGUGCCAGCAGCCGCGGUAAUACGUAGGGUGCGAGCGUUGUCCGGAAUUACUGGGCGUAAAGAGCUCGUAGGCGGUUUGUCACGUCGUCUGUGAAAUCCUAGGGCUUAACCCUGGACGUGCAGGCGAUACGGGCUGACUUGAGUACUACAGGGGAGACUGGAAUUUCUGGUGUAGCGGUGGGAUGCACAGAUAUCAGGAAGAACACCGAUGGCGAAGGCAGGUCUCUGGGUAGUAACUGACGCUGAGGAGCGAAAGCAUGGGUAGCGAACAGG